GUCCCUAUCCGUCGUGGGCGUAGGAAAUUUGAGAGGAGCUGUCCUUAGUACGAGAGGACCGGGAUGGACAUACCUCUGGUGUACCAGUUGUCGUGCCAACGGCAUAGCUGGGUAGCUAUGUAUGGACGGGAUAAGUGCUGAAAGCAUCUAAGCAUGAAGCCCCCCUCAAGAUGAGAUUUCCCAACUUCGGUUAUAAGAUCCCUCGAAGAUGACGAGGUUAAUAGGUUCGAGGUGGAAGCGUGGUGACACGUGGAGCUGACGAAUACUAAUCGAUCGAAGACUUAAUCAA
rnacentral:rRNA from 1 species